GGUGUCUCAGUGGUAGAGCGCUUGCCUUGCAUGCAUGGGGCCUGAGGUUUGAUUCCUCAACACCA
rnacentral:tRNA from 1 species